CCUGCGGCGCAUUAGCUAGUUGGUGAGGUAACGGCUCACCAAGGCGACGAUGCGUAGCCGACCUGAGAGGGUGAUCGGCCACACUGGGACUGAGACACGGCCCAGACUCCUACGGGAGGCAGCAGUAGGGAAUCUUCCGCAAUGGACGCAAGUCUGACGGAGCAACGCCGCGUGAGUGAGGAAGGCCUUCGGGUCGUAAAGCUCUGUUGCCAGGGAAGAACGGGUGGAAGAGUAACUGCUUCCGCCAUGACGGUACCUGAGAAGAAAGCCCCGGCUAACUACGUGCCAGCAGCCGCGGUAAUACGUAGGGGGCAAGCGUUGUCCGGAAUUAUUGGGCGUAAAGCGCGCGCAGGCGGCUUUGUAAGUCCGGUGUUUAAUCUUGGGGCUCAACCCCAAGUCGCACGGGAAACUGCAAGGCUUGAGUGCAGAAGAGGAAAGUGGAAUUCCACGUGUAGCGGUGAAAUGCGUAGAGAUGUGGAGGAACACCAGUGGCGAAGGCGACUUUCUGGGCUGUAACUGACGCUGAGGCGC
rnacentral:rRNA from 1 species